rnacentral:pre_miRNA from 1 species
AAUCUACUCCUUCCGUUCGGAAUUACUUGUCACAAAAAUGAAUGUAUCUACAACUAAAAUAUAUCUAGAUACAUUCAUUUCUUCGACGAGUAAUUCCGAAUGGAGGGAGUAUAUA